UGUGGAGACGGAAGCGUGCACGCACAUGUGUGCGUGUGCAUACACACACACACACACACACACACACACACACACACACACAC
rnacentral:miRNA from 1 species